rnacentral:tRNA from 1 species
GAAAAGUUAGUUAAUAAAUAACAUAAAAUUGUCAAUUUUAAAUUACUAUAUUUAGUAGUACUUUUUU